rnacentral:lncRNA from 1 species
AUAAUAAGCAUUAUCCCACAGUUCUGCCUUUUAAUGUGGCAUAGCCAUAUUCGCUUAUAAUUUUUAUUCUACACAUAUCACUGCUUCUCAGUGUGUACAUACUGGGGAAGGGGGUCAUUUUGACCCAGAAGGAUUUUUGAAUCAUCAAAUAUUUUCAAAUCGAAGGUUUUCCUAGUCUAGCUUCAUUCAGAUGAGCGUUGUGCAUCGAAGUUCAAGUCCCAAGAGAUGUUAUCAGUCGGAACGGCCGAGUGAACAAAUAUUUGUGAACCUCCUUCCAAAUGAAAUGUUCUAUAGAAGGGUGGAAGUGGUAAGAGACCGUUGAAACAGUGGUUAAGAAGAUUAUAUUUAUUUGGCCAUCAGCUCGUCUCAUGGUCUGAAGGAUGAUGAUGAUGAGGAAGAGGAGGAAGAAGAGAAGAUGAGGAACUUUUCCAAAAUAGGCAGUUUAACUCAUAAUAGACCCAAUUUCUAAAUACGAGGUUGGACUACGUCAUCUCUAAACGCAACCACUGGUCUGAAAAUAUGAGCUGUGUCAUAGAUACGGAGAACAAACAGGUGGUUGCCAAAGGAUGGGGGGAUUGGGCAAAAGAGGUGAAGGGGAUUCAGGGCCCCAAACUUCCAGUUAUAACAUAAAAAAGUCACAGAGAUAUAAUGUAAAGUCAGGGGGAAAUACAGUCAAUAUUGCAAUAACUGUGUAUGGUGGCCAAUGGUCCCCAGAUUUACAAGUGUGGGAAUCAACUCGGGUAAUGUACACAAAUGUCAAAUCACUAUACUGUACUCAAAACUCAUCUAAGCCACUACAUUCGUGGUAAACCACUAGUGUAAAACUAGUGCACACCACCACUACACUGCCGUAGUGGUUGAGUUUCAAUAAAAGUUAUGUGCAUCAACUCUAUUUCAACAAAAAAUUAAAAGUAACAAAACAAGGUAACAUUAUGAGAUUCGUUACACCUGGGCUUUAAUUUCCAAUUUUGGUUUAAUAUGUAUGACCUAACUUUAAAAAUCAGUUUACAGACAGACUAUCCUAAGGGCAAACAGUCCAACAAGACUUGCUCCAAUUCAAAGAAAAUCUUGAUAAGCAUUUUUUUUUCCUUUGUGGUUAUUAUAAAGUAUUUAAGUUUAAUUUUUAAAAAAUCCACUAUAUUUGAUUGUCAUUAUUUGAGUCAACAUGUUUCUAGUUAUGUUUCAGAGCACGGUUAGUUGAAACAGCCCAGAUCUUACUCAUCAAAAGACUUGGAAUAUUCACAGAAACUCUGUCACUCAUUAUUUCUCAGAGUUUAAAGAAGUUUAUGAACAUCACUGAGAAUCUGUCUUUUCAGUUUUGAAAGGGAAGUUAUAAUACUGACUUUGAAGUAUCUUGGCCAGUGAAAAAAACGCUACACAUAUAAGUUAUCAAGUGAAAUUAAAAGCUAAAGAAAUAAUAGCUACUAUAAAUAAAAACAUUCACAUUUGUUUAUCUGUGCUCAUUUGUCUUAAUGUUACCAAAAUUUAUUUUUAAAUGUUUUAUUUUAAGAUGUUAUGUUCCUACAUUCCUAAAUCUAUCUCCAUUUUACAUUUUGUUAGGGCUUGCAUGCUAUUUCUUUUUUUUUUUUUUAAUUAAAGUAUAGUUGAUUGAC